rnacentral:lncRNA from 1 species
UGAUGCUAUAAUUUUAUAAAAUAUGAGCAGUUUUCCACUCCUCUUGCCAUGUGCUCGUCCUCAUGCGGCAAUCCGGUAGGUAGAUAUGUCUCUACGUGCAGAAAGUGGGUGGGUAAGCAUGUGUCAAAAUAUUGUUACAAACUAAACAAGUUUAAUAAAUUUUUCUCUAGAUUUAAGGAAAAUUUUGCACAAUUUGGCAACACUGCCAGAAACAACUACCCAGAGGUGAAGUCUCACUCUCUAGGACUUAAAAUAACCAAGUUACCCUUUUAGCUCCACAAAAAUUUUGCGACAAAACAUCCAGUUGUUUUUUCUUUAGU